rnacentral:lncRNA from 1 species
AUGAGGUUGUGGAAAACCACCCUUGAAGCCAAUGGGAAGCCACUUGCCCAAGUAUCCAUCAAAUGUGGCAUAUACCAAGGAGAUGCACUGUCCCCACUGCUGUUCUGCAUAGGUCUGAACCCCCUCAGCCAAAUAAUAAACAAGACUGGCUAUGGAUACCGACUCCAGAACGGGGCCACCAUAAGUCACCUCCUCUACAUGGAUGACAUCAAGCUGUACGCCAAGAGUGAGCGAGACAUCGACUCGCUGAUCCACACCACCAGGAUCUACAGCUCGGACAUCGGGAUGUCAUUCGGACUCGAGAAAUGUGGGAGGAUGGUGACAAAGAGAGGCAAGGUAAUCCACACAGAAGGGGUCUCACUCCCAGAAGGAACAAUAGCAGACAUUGAGGACAAUUACAAGUACCUUGGAAUACCACAGGCAAACGGCAACCUUGAACAGGCAACAAGGAAUGCGGCAACAGCCAAAUACCUCCAACGAGUAAGGCAAGUCCUAAGAAGCCAGCUCAAUGGCAAGAACAAAUCCCGGGCAAUAAACAGCUACGCUCUGCCAGUGAUCAGAUACCCUGCAGGAAUAAUAAGGUGGCCAAAGGAAGAGAUACAGACCACAGAUGUUAAGACACGAAAGCUCCUCACCAUGCAUGGAGGGUUCCACCCCAAAUCCAGCACCCUGAGACUGUACGCUAGCCGCAAAGAAGGAGGCAGAGGACUAGUGAGCGUGAGAGCCACUAUCCAGGAUGAAACAUCCAAGAUCCAUAAGUACAUCAAGGAUAAGGCCCCGACAAAUGACGUGCUGAGUGAAUGUCUCAGGCAGUGGAGAACAGAGGAUGAGAUGCUGGAAGAGGGACCACCAUGGGAGGACAAGCCCUUGCACGGGAUGUACCACCGGAACAUAACUGAAGUGGCUGAUCUCAACAAAUCCUACCAAUGGCUUGAAAGGGCUGGGCUGAAGGACAGCACAGAGGCACUCAUCCUGGCCGCACAGGAGCAGGCCCUGAGCCCUAGAGCCAUAGAAGCCCAGACCUACCACACCAGACAAGACCCAAGGUGUAGACUGUGCAAAGAGGCCCCAGAGACGGUCCAGCACAUAACUGCAGGGUGUAGGAUGCUGGCAGGCAAAGCAUACAUGGAACGCCAUAACCAAGUGGCUGGCAUAGUAUACAGGAACAUCUGCGCGGAGUAUGGACUGGAAACCCCAAGGUCAAAGUGGGAAACACCUCCCAAGGUGGUAGAGAACGAGCGAGCCAAGAUCCUGUAG